rnacentral:rRNA from 1 species
GAUGAACGCUGGCGGCGUGCCUAAUACAUGCAAGUCGAGCGAAUGGAUUAAGAGCUUGCUCUUAUGAAGUUAGCGGCGGACGGGUGAGUAACACGUGGGUAACCUGCCCAUAAGACUGGGAUAACUCCGGGAAACCGGGGCUAAUACCGGAUAACAUUUUGAACCGCAUGGUUCGAAAUUGAAAGGCGGCUUCGGCUGUCACUUAUGGAUGGACCCGCGUCGCAUUAGCUAGUUGGUGAGGUAACGGCUCACCAAGGCAACGAUGCGUAGCCGACCUGAGAGGGUGAUCGGCCACACGGGGACUGAGACACGGCCCAGACUCCUACGGGAGGCAGCAGUAGGGAAUCUUCCGCAAUGGACGAAAGUCUGACGGAGCAACGCCGCGUGAGUGAGGAAGGCUUUCGGGUCGUAAAACUCUGUUGUUAGGGAAGAACAAGUGCUAGUUGAAUAAGCUGACACCUUGACGGUACCUAACCAGAAAGCCACGGCUAACUACGUGCCAGCCGCCGCCGUAA